rnacentral:rRNA from 1 species
GACGAACGCUGGCGGCGUGCCUAACACAUGCAAGUCGAACGGAAGUAAGUUUUCGGAUUUACUUUAGUGGCGAACGGGUGAGUAACGCGUGAGAAGCCUGCCUUUCAGUGGGGGACAACAGUUGGAAACGACUGCUAAUACCGCAUAACACUUUAGAAUCGCAUGAUUCAGAAGUCAAAGCUUUAAGUGCUGAAAGAUGGUCUCGCGUCUGAUUAGCUAGUUGGUGAGGUAACGGCUCACCAAGGCGACGAUCAGUAGCCGGUCUGAGAGGAUGGACGGCCACAUUGGGACUGAGAUACGGCCCAG